AUGACUCCUUUGAUGAGACCAGCAUGCGUUUUGUGCGGCGCAUCCAGGAGUAAGGUGAAGGAGGCUUUAAAAAGGAUGAAAGGAGGCAAGGCGAUGGGCCCUGAUUGUAUCCCCAUUGAGGUGUGGAAAGGUCUCGGGGACAUAGCGAUAGUAUGGCUAACCAAGCUUUUCAACCUCAUUUUUCGGGCAAACAAGAUGCCAGAAGAAUGGAGAUGGAGUAUAUUAGUACCAAUCUUCAAGAACAAGGGGGAUGUUCAGAGUUGUACUAAUUACCGUGGAAUUAAGCUGAUGAGCCAUACAAUGAAGCUAUGGGAGAGAGUCAUUGAGCACCGCUUAAGAAGAAUGACAAGCGUGACCAAAAAUCAGUUUGGUUUCAUGCCUGGGAGGUCGACCAUGGAAGCCAUUUUCUUGGUACGACAACUUAUGGAGAGAUAUAGGGAGCAUAAGAAGGACUUGCAUAUGGUGUUCAUUGACUUGGAGAAGGCCUAUGAUAAGAUACCGCGGAAUGUCAUGUGGUGGGCCUUGGAGAAACACAAAGUCCCAGCAAAGUACAUUACCCUCAUCAAGGACAUGUACAAUGAUGUUGUGACAAGUGUUCGAACAAGUGAUGUCGACACCGAUGACUUCCCGAUUAAGAUAGGACUGCAUCAGGGGUCAGCUUUGAGCCCUUAUCUUUUUGCAUUGGUGAUGGAUGAGGUCACAAGGGGUAUACAAGGAGAUAUCCCAUGGUGUAUGCUCUUUGCGGAUGAUGUGGUGCUAGUUGACGAUAGUCGGACGGGGGUAAAUAGGAAGUUAGAGUUAUGGAGACAAACCUUGGAAUCGAAAGGGUUUAGGCUUAGUAGAACUAAAACCGAGUACAUGAUGUGCGGUUUCAGUACUACUAGCUGUGAGGAGGAGGAGGUUAGCCUUGAUGGCCAGGUGGUACCUCGGAAGGACACCUUUCGGUAUUUGGGGUCAAUGUUGCAGGAGGAUGGGGGUAUUGAUGAAGAUGUGAACCAUCGAAUCAAAGCCGGAUGGAUGAAGUGGCGCCAAGCUUCUGGCAUUCUCUGUGACAAGAGAGUGCCACAAAAGCUAAAAGGCAAGUUCUACAGUACGGCGGUUCGACCCGCAAUGUUGUAUGGCGCGGAGUGUUGGCCGACUAAAAGGCGACAUGUUCAACAGUUAGGUGUGGCGGAGAUGCGUAUGUUGAGAUGGAUGUGUGGCCACACGAGGAAGGAUCGAGUCCGGAAUGAUGAUAUACGAGAUAGAGUUGGGUAG
rnacentral:rRNA from 1 species